UUUGGUUUACAUUCAUUUUUCUUAUAAAAUCUUUCUAAAGUUUCAAUAUUUUUUCAUGUGAUAAAGUAAUAAACCAUACUUGUACAAUAAUGAAUCGGAGAAUUAGAAUGGGAAGGGGAGCUAUGUUUUUGUAUGUGGUACUAGCUUUUGGGUUUUGUAUAGCCAUAUGUAACUUCUCUACUCUAUUGUUGAUAAGAAGUCAACCAAAAGUGUUAAGUAGUUACGGGCCGGAUCGACGUGUUGAACCGGUUAUCAACAUGGCCAUGGACCCGGAUCAGGGCGUGGGCCUAAACCGGCUGAAGUUUCAUGUAGCGGUAACAGCCACGGAUUCACUCUAUAGCAAAUGGCAGUGCAGGAUAAUGUACUAUUGGUACAAGAGAGUUAAAGAUUUGCCCGGGUCCGAUAUGGGUGGGUUUACCCGGGUUUUGCAUUUGGGUCAUUCUGAUACUUUGAUGGAGGAGAUCCCUUCCUUUGUGGUGGAUCCUCUUCCUGAGGGUGUUGAUCAGGGAUACAUUGUGUUAAACAGACCAUGGGCUUUUGUUCAAUGGUUAGAAAAGGCAAAAAUCGAGGAAGAAUAUAUUUUGAUGGGUGAACCAGACCAUCUAUUUGUGAAGCCCUUGCCUAACUUGGCACAAGGAAAAAACCCGGCAGCAUAUCCGUUUAUCUACUUCAAACCCGAAGAAAACGAGAACAUCAUUCGUAAGUUUUACCCGAUAGGAUCCAUAUUGAAUGUGGAUCCUAUUGGAAGCUCACCAGUUAUAAUAGCAAAGUCAUUGCUAAAAGAAAUCGCGCCUACAUGGAUGAAUAUAUCUUUGCAAAUAAAAAGAGAUCCAGAGGCGGAUAGUACCUUUGAUUGGGUGCAAGAAAUGUAUGCAUAUGCCAUAGCUUCAGCAUUGCAUGGUGUGAAGCACAAUAUUCAUGUAAAUUUCAUGGUGCAGCCUCCAAGGGACUGGAAUAUUGGUAGUAGUUACAUCAUCCAUUAUACUUAUGGUUGUGAUUAUAACAAGAAGGGAGGAGCUUACUUAUGGAAAGAUCACUGAUUGGCAUUUUGACAAGAGAUCGUUUCAAGACGGUCCUCCACCCAAGGAUCUUACUCUGCCUCCUCCUGGAGCUCCUGAGACUGUGGUAAGAUUAAUGUCUAUGGUGAACGAAGCCACAGCCAAAAUACCUGGUUGGGAAAAUCUGUAAUAACACAUUGACACAUUCUCUGAGAAUAACAUACAUGCAUGGAAACUCUUAUACAAAGCAUAGGACUACUAUUGAGAUUUUGUUGAGGCGCAAAGUUACAUACGAAGUGUAGCAGUGCAGAAGAUAUAUGAACAGAGAAGCUUAAACGCGAUACAGGUGUGACAGUCCAUGCGCGGUGCAUAGGUGUAUUCUUAAAGAAAUGUUUAUAUUUCCCAUAUUUAUGAUAAUGUUACACUCCAAAUUACACCAAAA